rnacentral:lncRNA from 1 species
GGCUUCCUCAGCAAGGCCAGAAAGAGGAGCACACCUCCCGGGCUCAUGCAGAACAGAAAAGGGCACGGACACCGGUGGGAAGGUCGAUGGGAGAAAUGAGGGAGACACCCUGGGGUGGAGUCCGGCUUUCCAUCCACCCUGGGGUGGAGUCUGGCUUUUCCAGAAUGGGCUUAAGCAGGAGAAUGGCAUUCUUAGUUGUUGCUUUAAUUAUUAAAAGUAGUAUAUGUUCUUGAUAAAAUGCACAUAUAGUAAAAAACGUAUAAAGUGAAAAAAAAAAAUCCCAUUCCCACGCUUGAAAGGAGGGGUCAUUUCUAAGAGAUUCACCUUGAAAACGUCCCUGGCUACAACUGGGAUCCAAAGUCAACAAGCACCAUGUUGUAACACGACAACUGUCCCCGCUGACCUACCUUGGCUUGCGCUGAUAAUGAUGUCAGGUUGAAAGACAAUCCAAGAUGAAGAAUCCACAUGUUAUAGGAAAUUCUAAACCAGGAAAAGAUGAAAACAAAAAGCAAACCCAGUUUCCGCUAGCACUCGCCCCUGCCCACCAUGUACUGAGUCCACGCUAAACGCGAGGCCCCUGGACAGUCAGGGAAGCUGCCUGCGGGGUGGCUCUCGGAGUGUUAUUCACAGCUGCCCGGAGGAGGACUUCAGGACCACUCUCUGAGGGUGACCACUUGCCCUGUUGUGCACGGUGCCACACCUUAGUAAAGGAUACAGAGUUUACAUGGAACAGGAGACUGGCUGGUCACGGCAGCAGGACCUACAAAUUGAGAAAACAUAAGUGCAACGAUGCAGUCAGAAAAUGCUGCAAAUGCUGGUACUUAUGACACAAAAGUCAAUACUUUUUAAUGUCAUUACGAAAUGUUUAUUCAAUUGUAGUCAAGGAAGAAAUGAACUGUUCCGUCUCACUGAAAGCACGUACGGGGAGGAAGGGGGAAGGAGCUAACAAUCCAGGAAAAUCUCACCAAGAAAAAGAAAGCAUGUCAAGGCUUCAAUCACUGUGGUUUGGGUUAUUUUUAAUAACCAAAGAUGACUCAUGAUCGUUUACAUAUGCACGUUAAGGAACUGAGAAAUUUACUUGAAGGAUUCAAAAUCAAAUACCCAGAUCAUCCACGGAGAAUGUUUCAAAUAAAUGUGGCUUGUAGCUUAAUUAUCUUUUUUUUUCUUUAAGAGAGGGUGUUGCUCUGCUGUCCAGGCUUGAGUGCAGUAGUUGAUCAUAGCCCACUAUAACCACGAACUCCUUGGCUCAAGUGGUCCUCCUGCCUCAGCCUUCAGAGUAGCU